UACGUAGGCGGCCCGUUAAGUCAGGGGUGAAAGGCUGUAGCUCAACUACAGAAUUGCCUUUGAUACUGACAGGCUUGAAAUAAAUUGAGGUUGGCGGAAUGUGACAUGUAGCGGUGAAAUGCAUAGAUAUGUCAUAGAACACCAAUUGCGAAGGCAGCUGACUAGAUUUUAUUUGACGCUGAGGCACGAAAGCGUGGGGAGCGAACAGGAUUAGAUACCCUGGUAGUCC
rnacentral:rRNA from 1 species